rnacentral:rRNA from 1 species
AUUGAACGCUGGCGGAAUGCUUUACACAUGCAAGUCGAACGAUGAACCUUAGCUUGCUAAGGGGAUUAGUGGCGAACGGGUGAGUAAUGUAUCGGAACGUAUCCAAUAAUGGGGGAUAACUAGUCGAAAGAUUAGCUAAUACCGCAUACGUCCUACGGGAGAAAGCUAGGGACCUUCGGGCCUGGCGUUAAUGGAGCGGCCGAUAUCUGAUUAGAUAGUUGGUGGGGUAAAGGCUCACCAAGGCGACGAUCAGUAGCUGGUCUGAGAGGACGACCAGCCACACUGGAACUGAGACACGGUCCAGACUCCUACGGGAGGCAGCAGUGGGGAAUUUUGGACAAUGGGCGAAAGCCUGAUCCAGCCAUUCCGCGUGAGUGAAGAAGGCCUUCGGGUUGUAAAGCUCUUUCGCAAGGGAAGAAAACUUAAGCUCUAACAUAGCUUGAGGUUGACGGUACCUUGAUAAGAAGCACCGGCUAACUACGCGCCAGCCGCCGCCGUAA